AGUGAACGCUGGCGGUAGGCCUAACACAUGCAAGUCGAACGGCAGCACAGUAAGAGCUUGCUCUUACGGGUGGCGAGUGGCGGAUGGGUGAGGAAUACAUCGGAAUCUACUUUUUCGUGGGGGAUAACGUAGGGAAACUUACGCUAAUACCGCAUACGACCUACGGGUGAAAGCAGGGGAUCUUCGGACCUUGCGCGAUUGAAUGAGCCGAUGUCGGAUUAGCUAGUUGGCGGGGUAAAGGCCCACCAAGGCGACGAUCCGUAGCUGGUCUGAGAGGAUGAUCAGCCACACUGGAACUGAGACACGGUCCAGACUCCUGCGGGAGGCAGCAGUGGGGAAUAUUGGACAAUGGGCGCAAGCCUGAUCCAGCCAUACCGCGUGGGUGAAGAAGGCCUUCGGGUUGUAAAGCCCUUUUGUUGGGAAAGAAAAGCAGCAGGUUAAUACCCCGCUGUUCUGACGGUACCCAAAGAAUAAGCACCGGCUAACUUCGUG
rnacentral:rRNA from 1 species